GGAUGACUGCAGGGACCCUGUGUCCUUGAGGAAAGUCCAUGCUCGCGCCCCCUGCGAUGGGGACAGUGCCUGCUGCCAAAGGAAACGAUAACUUUGGGCAUGGGAAACCAUGACGGCGAGGAAGAAUCUAAACCUUCGGGCACGAUGUCUUCCUCCUAAGGCUCCACAGUGACGAAACUCCGGGAAACCGGAGGAAUGCAACGACGGAAAGCCCCGCAAGCGAGAAACCUAAAUUUUGGUAAGGGAAGCGCCGACCGGGAAAUGAACCGGGAGGGGCAGGCGAAAGCCUAGAUAAAUUGUCAUCCUCGACAUAACAUGGCUUACAG
rnacentral:RNase_P_RNA from 1 species